ACAUCCAGCGAACUUGGCAGNGAUGCCUUGGUGCCUUCGGGAACGCUGAGACAGGUGCUGCAUGGCUGUCGUCAGCUCGUGUUGUGAAAUGUUGGGUUAAGUCCCGCAACGAGCGCAACCCUUAUCCUUUGUUGCCAGCGAUUCGGUCGGGAACUCAAAGGAGACUGCCGGUGAUAAACCGGAGGAAAGGUGGGGAUGACGUCAAGUCAUCAUGGCCCUUACGAGUAGGGCUACACACGUGCUACAAUGGCGCAUACAAAGAGAAGCGACCUCGCGAGAGCAAGCGGACCUCAUAAAGUGCAUCGUAGUCCGGAUCGGAGUCUGCAACUCGACUCCGUGAAGUCGGAAUCGCUAGUAAUCGUGGAUCAGAAUGCCACGGUGAAUACGUUCCCGGGCCUUGUACACACCGCCCGUCACACCAUGGGAGUGGGUUGUAAAAGAAGUAGGUAGCUUAACCUUCGGGAGGGCGCUUACCACUUUGUGAUUCAUGACUGGGGUGAAGUCGUAACAAGGUAGGCGUAGCGAG
rnacentral:rRNA from 1 species